UGGGGAAUAUUGGACAAUGGGCGCAAGCCUGAUCCAGCCAUGCCGCGUGGGUGAAGAAGGCCUUCGGGUUGUAAAGCCCUUUUGUCCGGAAAGAAAUCCUGUCGGUUAAUACCCGGCGGGGAUGACGGUACCGGAAGAAUGAGCACCGGCUAACUUCGUGCCAGCAGCCGCGGUAAUACGUAGGGGGCAAGCGUUGUCCGGAUUUACUGGGUGUAAAGGGUGCUCAGGCGGAUUUGUAAGUCAGAGGUGAAAUCUUACAGCUUAACGUUGAAACUGCCUUUGAUACUGCAAGCCUAGAGUAUGGAAGAGAGUGAUGGAAUAUCUGGUGUAGCAGUGAAAUGCGUAGAUAUCAGAUAGAACACCAAUGGCGAAGGCAGUCACUUGGUCCAUUACUGACGCUAAAGCACGAAAGCGUGGGUAGCAAACA
rnacentral:rRNA from 1 species